rnacentral:rRNA from 1 species
AAGGUUGGCUAAUCCUGGUCGGACAUCAGGAGGUUAGUGCAAUGGCAUAAGCCAGCUUGACUGCGAGCGUGACGGCGCGAGCAGGUGCGAAAGCAGGUCAUAGUGAUCCGGUGGUUCUGAAUGGAAGGGCCAUCGCUCAACGGAUAAAAGGUACUCCGGGGAUAACAGGCUGAUACCGCCCAAGAGUUCAUAUCGACGGCGGUGUUUGGCACCUCGAUGUCGGCUCAUCACAUCCUGGGGCUGAAGUAGGUCCCAAGGGUAUGGCUGUUCGCCAUUUAAAGUGGUACGCGAGCUGGGUUUAGAACGUCGUGAGACAGUUCGGUCCCUAUCUGCCGUGGGCGCUGGAGAACUGAGGGGGGCUGCUCCUAGUACGAGAGGACCGGAGUGGACGCAUCACUGGUGUUCGGGUUGUCAUGCCAAUGGCACUGCCCGGUAGCUAAAUGCGGAAGAGAUAAGUGCUGAAAGCAUCUAAGCACGAAACUUGCCCCGAGAUGAGUUCUCCCUGAGACUUUAGGUCUCCUGAAGGAACGUUGAAGACGACGACGUUGAUAGGCCGGGUGUG